UACGUAGGGGGCAAGCGUUGUCCGGAUUUAUUGGGCGUAAAGAGCGUGUAGGCGGUCCGGUCAGUCGGUUGUGAAAGUCCAGGGCUCAACCCUGGGAUGCGGGUGGAUACUGCCGGGCUCGAGUCCGGAAGAGGCGAGUGGAAUUCCUGGUGUAGCGGUGAAAUGCGCAGAUAUCAGGAGGAACACCGGUGGCGAAGGCGGGUCGCUGGGCCGUAACUGACGCUGAGGAGCGAAAGCGUGGGGAGCGAACAGG
rnacentral:rRNA from 1 species